AGAGUUUGAUCAUGGCUCAGAUUGAACGCUGGCGGCAUGCCUUACACAUGCAAGUCGAACGGCAGCACGGGGGCAACCCUGGUGGCGAGUGGCGAACGGGUGAGUAAUACAUCGGAACGUGCCCAGUAGUGGGGGAUAGCUCGGCGAAAGCCGGAUUAAUACCGCAUACGACCUAUGGGUGAAAGCGGGGGAUCGCAAGACCUCGCGCUAUUGGAGCGGCCGAUGUCAGAUUAGGUUGUUGGUGGGGUAAAGGCCUACCAAGCCGACGAUCUGUAGCUGGUCUGAGAGGACGACCAGCCACACUGGGACUGAGACACGGCCCAGACUCCUACGGGAGGCAGCAGUGGGGAAUUUUGGACAAUGGGCGAAAGCCUGAUCCAGCCAUGCCGCGUGCGGGAAGAAGGCCUUCGGGUUGUAAACCGCUUUUGUCAGGGAAGAAAUCUUUCGAGCUAAUACCUUGAGAGGAUGACGGUACCUGAAGAAUAAGCACCGGCUAACUACGUGCCAGCAGCCGCGGUAAUACGUAGGGUGCAAGCGUUAAUCGGAAUUACUGGGCGUAAAGCGUGCGCAGGCGGUUGUGCAAGACAGGUGUGAAAUCCCCGGGCUUAACCUGGGAACUGCACUUGUGACUGCACGGCUGGAGUACGGCAGAGGGGGAUGGAAUUCCGCGUGUAGCAGUGAAAUGCGUAGAUAUGCGGAG
rnacentral:rRNA from 1 species